UCGGUGUUUACAGCCCCCCUGACGAUUGCAGUGAGCCAUUUCUCACUCCUGUAUUUCUCAGAUGGUAUAAUAUAGAACUGCCGUUCAGGAUAACUCCUGGUUGGCUGGUACAACCCGGAGCCCAAGCGCGCACUCGGAACUCCAUUCUCUUAUUGUGUGAUGUCCGAGGUGAUCACACGUAACACACAAUCCAUACCUCUGUUUUACUUCCAAUCAUAGACUCUGCAAUCUGUUUGUGGCCAACAAUCCACUUGAAUUCGCCUACUUCAACGGCAUCUUCCUCAAAAAACUCAAAAAGGGCGUAUUUCACUAUUAUACAAGCGUAAAUGUGAAAUAAAGGAAACAGACAAAAGUGACGCGGUCUUUCUCCAAGAUCGGCCUCGUUUUGAAAUGGCGCGAUCCUAUGAGCGCGUGGCAUCAUGGGAUAUAACGACCUAUGACCCGGAGACAGAUUCAUGACUUAUACGUGUUUAUUUGUUCACAUUGAUCUAAGUUUAGAUGUUUUUAUGAAGAAAACUGAAAAGUUAAUUCUAUUUUAAAUUUUUGUUUAUUUAAAAAAAAUGUAUGCAUUUUGAAUCAUUGCGGGCGCUGCUCUGUUGUACGCAUGCGCACCUAACCUGAUGGCUCCUCCUGACCAACAGAGAGAAGAAGACGCAGAAGAAGAAAAACACCAACAACCCGACGGCCAUAUUUCGGUUGACAUGCUUCGACAACGUUACAGACAAUAUGGGAUUAAUCCCGAUAUCUCUCUUCCGAGACAAACAAAAUGUAAUCGACGAAAGAGAAGAAGAAUUGUAGGUGGUGAAACCAUUGAUCUCAACUCUUCACAGUCGGUUGCUCCCGAGCAUUCAAAGACUGACGAAGGGAUUGAUUGUAACCACUGUGGCACUGAUGUUGAACAACCUGAAACUGACUUACCAAUGAAUGAUCGAAUGGACAUCAGAAAUAGAGCUGUGUUUCAACAUAGUAGUUCUCAAGAAGGUGGGGUGGUUU